CCCCCUUCGGGGGACAGGGUGACAGGUGGUGCAUGGUUGUCGUCAGCUCGUGUCGUGAGAUGUUGGGUUAAGUCCCGCAACGAGCGCAACCCUCGCCUCUAGUUGCCAGCAUCGGUUGGGCACUCUAGAGGGACUGCCGGCGACAAGUCGGAGGAAGGUGGGGAUGACGUCAAAUCAUCAUGCCCCUUAUGACCUGGGCUACACACGUGCUACAAUGGGCGGUACAAAGGGCUGCGAACCCGCGAGGGGGAGCGAAUCCCAAAAAGCCGCUCUCAAUUCGGAUUGCAGGCUGCAACUCGCCUGCAUGAAGCCGGAAUCGCUAGUAAUCGCGGAUCAGCAUGCCGCGGUGAAUACGUUCCCGGGCCUU
rnacentral:rRNA from 1 species